rnacentral:rRNA from 1 species
UACGGGGGGAGCAAGCGUUGUUCGGAUUUACUGGGCGUAAAGGGCGCGUAGGCGGUCAGCACAAGUCAGUUGUGAAAUCUCCGGGCUUAACUCGGAAAGGUCAACUGAUACUGUGCGACUAGAGUGCGGAAGGGGCAACUGGAAUUCUUGGUGUAGCGGUGAAAUGCGUAGAUAUCAAGAGGAACACCUGCGGCGAAGGCGGGUCUCUGGGCCGUAACUGACGCUGAGGAGCGAAAGCGUGGGGAGCGAACAGG